GAGAGGGAGAGUGCGGCCGACGGUGGCACAUGGUGCUGCUGAGGAAAGUCCCCCCACCAGCUGAGCACGCAGCCGCCACGCAAGUGCGGGUGGCGAGAGUCACGGCAAUGGCACAGAAACGACACGGCCUGCCCCCAGCGAUGAUGCGAUCGAGCCCCACCAAAAAGGGCAAUGCAUCCCCGCUUUUCAUGGGCGCGGAUGACUCGCUGAUGCAUAAGGGCAGGAAUCGAUGAAACGGUGAAUCCCUGCGGGUGCAAGCCAAAACAGGGCAUGUAGGCUGCUCAGUGCCUGCCCGGGUAUGGCGCGUAGCUGAAUGCCGCACCGAACAGAAGGGGGCUUACUCCUCCCACUC
rnacentral:RNase_P_RNA from 1 species